GAAAUAUAAGAAUCCUUCUCUUAAUUUUUAACUAAAAAAGUUAAGAACCGGUUCUUAAAUAAGAGUUUUAAGAGCCGGUUCUUAACUUUUUUAGUUAAAAGUUAAGAGACAGGUUAUUAUAUUAC
rfam:Brassica oleracea var. oleracea cultivar TO1000 chromosome C1, whole genome shotgun sequence